GACGUAGGAGACGAGCGUUAUCCGGAUUUACUGGGCGUAAAGCGCGUGCAGGCGGCUCGUUAAGUUGGAUGUGAAAGCCCCCGGCUAAACUGGGGGAGGUCGUUCAAGACUGGCGGGCUAGAGUGCAGCAGAGGAGAGUGGAAUUCCGAGUGUAGCGGUAAAAUGCACAGAUAUUCGGAAGAACACCAGAGGCGAAGGCGGCUCCCUGGGCUGCAACUGACGCUCAGACGCGAAAGCUAGGGGAGCGAACGGG
rnacentral:rRNA from 1 species